UCCCAUUUUCCUCAUAAUUUUACAGGACUCCGUUUUCUCUCCCCUACUAGAAUCUACCUGGAUAACUCUCCCAUUUAUUAGUAGUUUGUGCCAGCUUUUCCAGGCAGUGCUUAUUUUUCUUGGAAAAGAUAGAAGAGUCAGAGUUGAAGGGCCAACCCAAGGAUGAAGGCACUGCCCGCCCGCCUGUGGUGGGCAUGUGGAUGAGGAAUCCGUGCCUGCACAUAGCACUCAAGAUCCACCACACUGACUUCUUUAAGGGAAAUAAAAUGGAGCUCUCUGC
ensembl:lncRNA novel transcript